rnacentral:lncRNA from 1 species
UUCUCGCUCUCUCGCAUAAAGGAAAAGGAAGGCUCUAGAACCCUUUUACUCACCCGAAUAUAUAAACCACGUUACCAACCUCAACUCUCCUCACAAACUCUUCUCUUGCGAUUCGUUUACUUUCGUGCUUUUUGAAUCGAGAUGGAUGAAGAUUUCGAGAUGCCUCCCGUCGGUGGAAUGAACGGCGACGACGAGAUGGAUUUCGGCGACGACGCCUCCUUCCUCAAAGUCGGCGAGGAGAAGGAGAUCCAGCAAGGCUUGAAGAAGAAGCUCCUCAAGGAAGGCGAAGGAUUCGAGACUCCGGAGAACGGCGAUGAAGUCGAAGGUAAACUUAACAUCGAUUCGAAUCUCCAAUUUGUCUUCUUUUCGAUUUGACUCAGCUGAAACUUAAUUGAUCUCUUCUGCAGUGCACUACACUGGUACUUUGCUCGAUGGGACCAAGUUCGAUUCCAGCCGCGACCGAGGAACGCCUUUCAAAUUCACUCUCGGUCAAGGUCAGUGGAUUCAAUCUCUUUGAUUAUGAUCGAUAAGCUUAGUCCCAAGCGCGUAUCUUGAAUUUGAGAUUAUAGUUACAUUCUAGUAUCACUGUGCUGCUAGGUUUUAUCAGUGUUUAUCAUUAUUAGCCUAAAGGGAUUAACUUUGGUAGAGAUCUGUGUGAAUUGUUUGCUUAUUAUUUUGUCUUGGCAAUGUGAUUGCAGGUCAGGUUAUUAAAGGAUGGGAUAUUGGUAUUAAGACUAUGAAGAAAGGCGAAAACGCUGUUUUCACUAUCCCUUCCGAGCUGGCUUAUGGGGAAUCUGGCUCGCCGCCGACCAUCCCUGCCAAUGCCACGCUUCAGUUUGAUGUGGAGUUGCUUUCUUGGUCUAGUGUCAAGGACAUAUGCAAAGAUGGUGGUGUGUUUAAGAAGAUUGUUGCUGCGGGAGAGAAGUGGGAAACCCCAAAGGAUCUCGAUGAAGUUCUUGGUUUGUGUUUAUUAAAUGUAUUUUCUUAAUGCUAAUAUAUAAUCUUUUAACUACUUAAAUCAUAAUAUAAUUUGAUAUCUUUUAAUUUAAAAUAUAAAUAUAUAUAUUUAAUUUUCUUAACAAAUGUGUUGAAAAAAUUAUAACAAUAUCUUAAUUAUCAAAAAUUGUAUAUAAAUAUUUUCACUAAUUUUGUAAUUAGUAAUGAAAUUAAUGUUAUUAUACAUUAAUAUAUAUAUAUAUAUACUCAGUUAUCUUUUACAAAAAAAAAUAUAUCAAAUUUUACUAUUGUAUAGUUAUAUCUAUCAUUUUAAAAUAAAACACUGUAUUUAACUAAAUAUGAUAAAAUUAUUUUAAACUGAUAAAUUAAUAUAAUUUAUUUUCACAAACAUUUAAAAUUUAUGCUAGAAAUAUAAUAUGUUGGUAAAACGGGUUAACAUUAGUAAAUUAGAUUAUUCAUGUAUAAAAUUAACUUGUCUUAAACUUUUAUAUAUAUAUAUAUAUAGUUAUUAUCUUAAAUGAAUAAACAUAAAAAAUAUUGAUAAAAGAAAUCUAGCGCUUUGAAUAACAGAUCAUGAUCAUAAUAAUUGAAUAAAAAAAUAAUUUUAAAAUAUAUAUAAUAAAAAAUACCAAAUAUAUGUGAUGAUUUGAAAUAAUCAAUUAACUUACAGCAUAAAACUAUCAAAUUGUUAUAUUUAAAAUAAUUAUAUAUAAACAUUAAAAUAUAUAAGUAACUUAAAAAAAUAUAUUCUAAUUAUGUAAAAUAUAUAUAAACAUGAAAUUUAAUACCCACACGGUUGUGCGGGUCCAAAUCUAGUCCCGUAGACUAUAUUUACGAAGUGAUUUUGCCACAUGUUAUUUCCACGAUCAAUUUCACAAAACAAUAUGACAUGGCUACUGAAAUUGAUGACAUGGCUUCCAGAAAAAUAUGACAUGGAUAAUUUCAUUUAAUGUUGAUUUAUAUUUUUGGAAAACUUAUUAGAAUAUGAUAAUAAUUCAUAUAUUACAUUUAAUAUUGAUAUAUCUUUUUGGUAAACUUUUUCUUAAAUAUGGUAAUAGCUCAUACAUCAAUUAUAAAACAAAGAUAUUCAUAUAUAACAUUUCAAAUUUUGAAAUAUUAUUAUUUUGUAUAAUUAUACAAUUUGUAUUACUAAAGCUUUCAAAAAUUUAUACAAUUUUUUAAAAAAAUUAAAUAUCUAAUCGUAAGAUCAUUAGUUUCUUAUAUAUUUACAAAUUUUAUAAAUAUUGUUUAGGUUACAUUUUUGAUAAUUAUACAAUUUUAUAUCAUUUUUAUUAGUUUAAUACAAAUUGAUUUAAUAUAUAUCAAAUCUAUAUUAAAUAUUAGUAAGAAAAUUGUAAAAUCUAUAAUAUUUAAUAAAAUGUAUUUUUAAAUAUAAAUUAAAUUAAAAAAAUUCUUUAUUGCACAUGGUGCAGGAACACCUAGUUAAUUUUAUAAGCCGUACAAUCGUUGAAAAAAUUCUUUAUUGCACAUGGUGCAGAAACACCUAGUUAAUUUUAUAAGCCGCACAAUCGUUGAACUUACCAUAAAAGCUUUUAAAAUUAGCAUGAUUUGGCCACUUAACAGACCGUAGCCGAACCCUAAGCAAAAUAAAAGAUGAUGUUUCUUAAAAAAUAUUUAUUCACUUAUUCUUUGGGUAAAUCUCCAAAAUAGCACAUUUCUAAGUUUAUGUCACAAGAAUAGCCCUCAAAAACUAAAAUGACCAAAAUAGCAUUUUAUGUUUUAAAAAAUUUAAUUUUUUUUUAUUUUUCAAAAUUUGAAAUCUUAUCCCAAAACCCUACUCCCUAAAACCUAAACUUUAAACCCUAAACCCCAUCCCUAAACUCUAAACCCUAAAUCCCACCCCUAAACUCUAAACCUUUAAUCCUAAACCCUAAACCCCAAACUCUAAACCCUAAACCCUAAAUCAUAAACUCCACCUCUUAACUUUAAACCCUAAUGUCUAAAUUAAUUUACCAUUAGGGUAUAAGUGUAUAUUUAUCUCUUUUGAUAAAACCUUAAGUGCUAUUUUGGUCAUUUUUAUUCUUAAAGACUAUAUUUGUGACAAAAACUUUUUUAGUGGUAUCUUAGUCAUUUUCUCUUAUUCUUUUUGCUCCACAAAAAUAAUUUUAUGUAUUUAAUAUUAAAACACCUUGAAUUUAUAUUUUAAAUGUAGAAUUAUAAAUUUUAAAUAAAAUUAAACUAAUAGUAAUUUAGUAAACUCAAAUAGUUUUCUUAAAAUUUAAUGCUAUUAAAGAAUAUUUUUUAAUAAAGACGGAAAAUUUAUAUUUUUAAAAAAGUUUCCAAAACGUUUUAUUUUGUGGAAAUAAUUUUUUAUUAUUUUAUGAAAAUUUAAGCACAGUUUUAUUUGCACGACACUACACUAGAUUGAUAUUAUAUAUUUACUUAACACAUACUUUUUAGUUUAUAUAAAGGAGAAAUUAUAUAUUUCUAAAAUUUGAAUUGUAAAUUUGUAAGUCUCUUUUAUCGUGUAGAAGCAUGAUUACCUUUUUUCUGAACCAAACCUUAUUGGGCCCGAUCAAGAAUCUGUACUAUUCUGCACUUUUGCCAACCUAAUAGAGAAUUUACUGAAAAUAGUUAAAGCCCAGUAGAAACAGCUGACGUAAUCAAAGUUCACAUCUGUCGUAACGGCGUCACGAGUGAAACAACAUUUGUAUUGUAAAUUUGUAAUAUUCAGGAACAGUCUUUUAACACCGUCAUCUUCUCGCUCUCUCGCAUAAAGGAAAAGGAAGGCUCUAGAACCCUUUUACUCACCCGAAUAUAUAAACCACGUUACCAACCUCAACUCUCCUCACAAACUCUUCUCUUGCGAUUCGUUUACUUUCGUGCUUUUUGAAUCGAGAUGGAUGAAGAUUUCGAGAUGCCUCCCGUCGGUGGAAUGAACGGCGACGACGAGAUGG